rnacentral:rRNA from 1 species
UGGGGAAUUUUGGACAAUGGGCGAAGGCCUGAUCCAGCAAUGCCGCGUGUGUGAAGAAGGCCUUCGGGUUGUAAAGCACUUUUGUCCGGAAAGAAAUCCUUGGCUCUAAUACAGUCGGGGGAUGACGGUACCGGAAGAAUAAGCACCGGCUAACUACGUGCCAGCAGCCGCGGUAAUACGUAGGGUGCAAGCGUUAAUCGGAAUUACUGGGCGUAAAGCGUGCGCAGGCGGUUUGCUAAGACCGAUGUGAAAUCCCCGGGCUCAACCUGGGAACUGCAUUGGUGACUGGCAGGCUAGAGUAUGGCAGAGGGGGGUAGAAUUCCACGUGUAGCAGUGAAAUGCGUAGAGAUGUGGAGGAAUACCGAUGGCGAAGGCAGCCCCCUGGGCCAAUACUGACGCUCAUGCACGAAAGCGUGGGGAGCAAACAGGAUUAGAUACCCUGGUAGUCCACGCCCUAAAACGAUGUCAACUAGUUGUUGGGGGAUUCAUUUCCUUAGUAACGUAGCUAACGCGUGAAGUUGACCGCCUGGGGAGUACGGUCGCAAGAUUAAAACUCAAAUGAAUUGACGGGGUCAUAGCUGUUUCCU